rnacentral:misc_RNA from 1 species
UUGAAUUCCAAACGUAAAGGACUUGAGCUGUGCGCUUUCACGAGCAGCACGCCUUGUCCGAUACACUCACACCUGUGCACCUUUUGACCCGCAUAUAGUCGGGUCCUUAUACACACACUUUAAAAUCUUAGAAUGUUUAUAAUUAAAAUUAUGA